rnacentral:lncRNA from 1 species
CUCCAAGGCAGAUUCCCUUCUAGCAGCAACAUCAUCCAUCUAAGUUAUAAUGUCUAGGCCAGAGAAUCUACAUUAGUGCCAACUUAGAAGUUGGGAACUGUGGUUAAAAUGCAAUUUAGAAGUCCCAUUUUGACUUAAAUUCCUGGUCAGUCCCUCCAGGAAAAGUGCACAGAGAGAUCUGCAUCACAUUUUGAAAAGGAGAAAGCUGAGGCCCAGAGGAACCAGCAACUUGUCCAAGGUCACGGAGGAAGAUGGCAGGGGAGCAGGGUCCAGUCCCAGCUGUGUCAACUCCCAGACCAGGGCCUCAACCACAAGCCCAUCUCUCUGCCCAGCUGAGUCUGUGUGUCUGCCUCCUGGGCAGAGCCCAAGCCCUCGGUGAAAGAUCAGGAUACAGUGUAAGCAAAGUUGUGUUUAUUUUAAAAUGCGGUCCUCUGCAGGCUCUGGGAUGUCGGCAUGGCUGCGGAGCCGCCGGAGAUGUCGGAAUGCGUCAUGGGGUUUGUGCUGCCUCGGUGAUGCAGUGCUCCGUUUGGAUACCUGUCCUGUGAAUUCUCUGUGGGAUUUGACUGGAGCAGCUUCCCAGGGAUGUGUGCUGUAACAUGUGCCUUGGGAGCAGACAGGUGAUUAUGCCCUGCUUUGUUUUGUGGCUCGUUAUCACAGGAAGUGUAUGCCUACUUCUCUGGUGGCCUGUCUUGCAAACAUUGCUGCAGUACUGGGCCCUAGAAACGUGAGGCAGAUGUGGGUGAAGGGGAGAGUUUCUGACUAAGGCUAGUUCUGUUGCUGGGGAUGUAUCUUAGAGAAAAAAAGGGACAUCUGGAAAAAAAAAAAAUACUUGAAUAUAAAUCCAGAAAAAUAAGGCCAUCUCUAAGAAGAAAUGUGUAGUAAUUAUGUGAUUCAUAGUGAAGAUUCUCUUCUAGUCCACUUCAUCUUGGAUCUGACAACUGUAGUUGCACUCUGUACAGUGACAGGGUUAAACCUGUGCUGUGUGAGCCAUGAGUGAUACUGGGAUGUUCAAAAUGGUAGGAACAAGAGGUAAUGUUUGUGGGACUCUUGGGAGAACUAUCUAUGUUCCAAGAUCCUCUGAAUAGUAGAAGGAAAGAAAGAAAGGGUUAAUGCAGCUUGUGGGGAGACAGGAAAUGUCCCAGCUGGAACUGAUUAAAUCUGCUGUGUAGCCUAAGCUGCCCAGAUGGGAGACACAUGGCAGAGUGAGAUGUGUUGCUCAGCUCCAAAGGAUGUCUUACUGCUAAGUGGGCCUUGAGCAUUGAUUGGAAGUCUUCCUCCAUACUUAGGAUGGAUCUCCUGGGCUAUCAGCAGAAUGUCAAACCCCAUUUUUAACCUUCUCCACACAGAAGCUUCACGUGCCCAAGAAGAGGCAUGUGAAAUGAAAGGUGUUUUCCUGCAUGUGGCCACCAAGUCAUUAGAGAGGCUUUAGAGCUGCUGGAUGCCUCACUGUCCCUGCCUAUUCCCCUCUGUCUCUAGGUAGAGCAGUGACAUGAAAUGUGAGGCAAGCUGGACUGUUCAGAGAUGGGAGAAGGACUGGGACAGCCCUGCUGUCUUAGAACCUGACAGCUGUCAGGGCAGUGUUAAUUGUGGCUGUAUCUAAUUAGCGGGGCCUGUGACCCCUGCAUGAAGUCCUAGUUCACGAGCAGUUGCAAUUUGUAUGAGUUACCUCGGAGUCAUUACAGCAGGUCUGUGUUUCUUCUAAAUCAGCUCCAGCCAUGGGCAUAAUCCUGUGUCCAGCAGGGAUUAGUGCCAGGGUCUGUGUGGAGCUCUUCCUUACUAACAGCUGUGGGACAAACCACCUCCAGAAUCCUUAUUUGGGGCUAUUCUAGUUUUAAGAAAAUUAUUUUUUACAGAAUGCAUCCUUAAUUUAAAAUCAUUAUUUUUUUUCUUAUUUUUACUGUUCUUACAUAUCUCAGUUCUGAGGUAGGAGUUUGUAGAAACAUUCCACACCAGGCACCUGCUUGGCUAAUUUUCUCCAUCUUUACAAGGUGUCUUACAACCUCUGUCAGAUCCUGGAGUUUUUCUUUCGGCUCUGUCUGGUGCAGCUGGGGUGCAUCAGGGCUCAUGCACCAAGGCAAGGCUUUGAUGUUGCUCCAGUGAUAUUGUUGAUAACACCUGAUUGUUUUCCAUCUAGAUCUUCUCAGAAAUUGAUCUUGAUCGAACACAUGUUAGGCCCUGUAAAACUAGACAAAAGCUCCUCCAGUGGGGCUAAAACAGCAGUUGCACAGCUUUGGGUUUGUUUUCUUUAAUAAACUAUUUUUCCUUUUUUCUCUCUUUCA